CAUUUGUCUUUGAGGUAUGAUAGUUUUCAUCCAUAAAUUCUUUGCAUUCAUGGAGUUCCCAAAUUUCUCUGUUUCAAAGUUAGAAUUCCCAAAUUGAGUUAGGGUUUUCUUCAAUUAUCAUGGCUUCUUUUCAUUAUUGAUUUAAAUGAUUGAAUUAUGAUAUUUUAUGCAUGAAUUGAUGAAGUACUAUGAUUUUAUGAUGAUUCCUCCAUGAACCCAUGUAAUCUCCAUGGUUUCAAGUUAUGAGCAUAUGAUGUGGGAUUUUGAUUAUAAAUGAAGAAUUUUAUGAAAUUAAGCAUGUAUUGCUAGCUUUACAUGAAUUUAUAAUGAAAUCCAUAUCUAACCCAUGUUUUUAAAUGUUGAUGAUUGAAAAGUGGGGUUUUGAACCUUGAAAGGUAAAUUAUGGAAUUAUGCAUAUUCUUAUGAAAUAUAUGCAAAUGUUUUAAGGAUGCUUUGAGAGUAAAGUCUUAAUGAUGAUGAUCAUUAUUGAAAGGAUUUUCUCAUAUACACAUAAAAGCAAGAUGUGAAAGGUUUUCUCACAUAAUAAGGAUUCUAAGGUUGAAAGGUUUUCUCAUUUAAUUGAAACAAAGAUUAAGAGCUACCCAAAUGAACACAGCUUGGAUUGGUUAUUGAAAGAUAUCUUUGCAUGGAUGAUGACUUAGCUUGGAUUGGAUAGAUGGCGUGCCUUUCCAUGGAUAAUAAGAAUAAGAAGAAAUGACUAUUCUGUGGGAUUUAUGCUUAGCAUCGACAGGAUAUUGAGAUGAAGUCUCCCAUCAGUAGAGGCCAGGUUUCUAGAAGCAAUUUCUCUAUCCCUUACAUAUGUGCCCUUAUAGGAUGAUUGUAUAGAUAGACAUUAUCUAGUGGAUCCAUUUUGGUUCAGAUUUAUGGUCCUUACCUUGGCAAGUAGGACAGCCCUUUUCGGUGUGGGAGACACCGGGGAUCAUGUUAUAGCUCACAUAGUCUCUAUAUUUGUUAAGGCUAAUCUCCCACAUUAAUAAUGAACUAAGGUUAUUUCUAAAAGUAUCUCAUAUGUGUUUAAAGGCUUUAUAUGAUGUUAGGUUGCAUUGACUAUGGUUUUAUGACUUGUGUUUUCUAACUCUCUUAUAUCAUGUUUUAGCUUGGUCAAUUGCAUGUCAUGAAAUGAAAUGUCCAUUUUUAGCAUGAUUUAAAUGUUUAAUGCAUAUCUAUCAUAAUUGGUACAUUUUUUUGUACUAACACAUACUCUUGCCUACAUUCCCCAAAUGUAGGGUUCGACAGUCAGAUUUCUCAGUUUCGUGGCUAGUGGUUGAUUUCAAAAUUUCUGAGCUUUGGUGAGUCCUCAUGCUUCGAGGACGGAUUUUCAUUGUUCCACUUUAUUUCAUGUAUUUCACUUUUGGACAUGAUGUAUGGGCUAGUGUAAUAAUGACCCAAAUGGCUAUUUUAGAAAUUUUCAAAAAAAUUACUAUUUCAC
rnacentral:lncRNA from 1 species